UACACAGCAACAUCCCUGAUGCAGAUUGA
rnacentral:piRNA from 2 species